GCCUGCGCAAGGCGCCUCGACGCGACGCACCGCCUCACGCUGCCGCGUGGGGCGGGACUUCCUCUUGGCGCCCCGGAAACCGAAAGGAGCUGAUUUCUGCAGGAAGGAGAAGGGAGUUGCCACCGACAUCGGACACCGGAAAGCAGGCUCGUUGUGUUGCGUAAGGUGAGGCUAAUCUCUGGCCACUCGGCGGAGUGGAUGACUGCAGCGACCUUUUAGGCAGGCUGUCUGUAGCAUCGGGCUUCAAGCGAUGCUGCAGGGAACCGGAAUUAGAGGUGAGGGGUUGGUGUAUCUGUCGCCGGGUCAGGCCACCAGCGACCGAGGUCUCAUUACUAACUCUUUGUCCUCAGCUCUUUCGACCUCGUCUGAAAAACGAGCUUGAUAGCUCACGGAAAAGUCGUGAGGAUAGAUGCGGAAGGGAGAAAUUCACACGCAGAAUGAAGUUUAAGAAAAAACUUAAGUAUAUGAGGGCUUUGAAAACAGAACACCGUUGUUUCUGUGAUUCGAUCAUUCAGAAAUUAUGAAGGCACAGUUCUUGCCUUUGAUUGACUUAUAGUCAAGUGGAGUGGACACAGGUCAUGGUGGCAGUAUAGCCACUUAAGUAUUCCGAAGGAGAUUUAUCAGCAGGUUGCAGGUGAACAUGGCCUUGAGGUAAAUCCUGCCCCUUGUUGAAAUGUAGUUUCAGUAGAUAGUUCUUGGCAUUUUAAGGAAUUAGAAUAUUUACCAAAAAAAAAAAAGUUUUGGUUCUUUUCUAGACUUUUUUUUUUUCUUGUAGAAGAUGAGAAACAUAUUAAAGGUUCUUUAUAAGCUGAGUAAUUGUGAUACUUGAAGUUGGUCAUCUGCCUUGUUUAAAUUAAAUGGAUUUUAAAUGUCAGAGCUAAUUGUAGACCAUUUUUCCUUGAUCAAAAUAAAAUCUUAUUAAAACCUUAUAUAUGCCUAGUUUUUAUCCAUUUUAUCUUAUAUGUGAAAUAAAGCCUGAAAAACCCUGUGUUCAAACUUAUUUGAUCUGUGAGGUCCAACCUCCU
ensembl:lncRNA